GGUUUUUUAUAUUUUAUUUUUGUGUUUUUUUUUUAUUUUACUUAAAAUUUUCUAAAAACAUACAAGAAUGUUUUGGCGUCCGCCAUCUAACUCAUGGUAAUGUCGGGAGGCAGCGGCGGUAUGGAGCCCGAAGGCGACCGGGAGAGGAGGCUCAGCGACGACGUGGUGACGUUCCUGCGCAAGCGGAGCGACCAUGACGCGCCGCGCUAUGCCGCCAGGAUCAAGACGUAUUUGGAGAUGAAUAGGAAGCGUCGCCGGGCAACAGAAGCGCGCCGCAACUCCGAACACGACAAGACGUCCGCC